rnacentral:rRNA from 1 species
UACGGAGGGGGUUAGCGUUGUUCGGAAUUACUGGGCGUAAAGCGCGCGUAGGCGGAUUAGAAAGUUGGGGGUGAAAUCCCGGGGCUCAACCUCGGAACUGCCUCCAAAACUGCUAGUCUAGAGUUCGAGAGAGGUGAGUGGAAUUCCGAGUGUAGAGGUGAAAUUCGUAGAUAUUCGGAGGAACACCAGUGGCGAGGGCGGCUCACUGGCUCGAUACUGACGCUGAGGUGCGAAAGUGUGGGGAGCAAACAGC